UCUAGCAGCUCCAAGCCACAGCUACAUGGCUCCCAAACAAUGAUUAUGAAAACCACAGUUGAGCGAAGCAUCAGGAAACGGCAUUGCGAAACCACAGCAACAAAUGUGUCUGCGAUACUGAAAACCACAAUUCACAACUAAUACCCCAUGUCGCCAAUGACUAUUAACUAUACAUGUGCAAAUGUGGAAUCAACAAAUUGACCAAGAAAGCUCCCAGGCCAAUCUUAUGAGAUAGCAAAUUACCUUCUUUAUUAUGAAAAUGCAAUGUGAACAGCUGUCUCAAGCUCUUGUCAGCAGGAUUUCCCACUAAGAUGCACUGUGCCCUUAAACUGUGAGCCAAGACAAGGCCUUUCUCCCUGGAUCUGCUCUUUUUGGAAUAAAACUUUCUAAUGUGGUAUCAGAAGAACAUGGAACAGCUGUUCCACACAACCAUCAAAAGAUCAAAUCUUGCCAGCGCCGUGACUCCUGUUCCCCAGCACACUGUGACUCUGUAAAUCAACUUGAAGAUCUGGCACCCCCAUGUGGGUUUUGCCCAACAAAUAGCUUCUGUCUACUUGAUAUAUAACUGAUUCUUAAUAUGAGUGAUAAUAAUAACAGUACUUGUCUUUGAGUAAUUACUACACCCCAAGCUCCGUUUUGAUUAGUUCUGACCUUAUGUUACAACCUCAUGGAAUGAAUGGACAAUGGACGAUUUUUCAUGCGGAUAGAAUAAUUGUAUUAUUUUAUUAAGUACCAACAAAAAGUUAAGUAUAUUUUAUUUUUACUCAGGGAUUACAGAAAUUAAUGAAUUUAUAAUUAUAUUAGCAUAGAAAUUAUUAUCUUUAAGAGGUUGCUUUUCUAAAAGCAUCAGGACUUUAUUUUUAGGAUAGAUAGCAUAGGAUAAGGACUGUGUUCCACAUACGGGGGAUAGGGCAAUACCUUCACUAAACAUCAUUGCUCUUACUUUCCCCCUCUGCAAUUCAGAAUAUUCACCAUGGAUUUUCUUAUUUCCUGAUUAGGUGGGUAACAUAUCAAUGUGGUUUAUAAGACACCUGACCUGGAAAAGCUAAACACACCCAGGAGAAAGGACAAACACCAGAUCUUGACCUACACAUACCAAAUGGGGGCAGAUCGAGUUGUUCCCAUUAAGGAACAUAAAGGUGUGACUUUAUUUGAUCCAUGACAGGAAGCACACAGCUCUCUUCUUGACCAAAGUAUGUAUUGUGGCUAGACACUUACUACACAUCUUCCUCUUCCUGGUCACAUAAGAAAAUUGCAGACCAUGUGCUCCUUUGAAGUUGAAUUGUGAAGACAUAACGAGAAAAUAACCUCCCAGACCCAACUCAUCACAAUACCACAAAAUCUUCUAUCCUUGCAUUCUCUUCUAUGACAAUUAUAUACAUCUGUCUCCUUCAUUUUAGAAAGAAGUAUUUAUUACAGGGAUGGGUCCUUUGGGGUGGGAUACCUUUGAGCCUCAAUGACAAGGAGUUAGUAGGUGGAGGAAGGGAGGGCAUUGAGCUGGUCUUGACAGAUGAAAGCAUCUUUGAAUCCUGAGUCACAAGUUGAGAGAUAGCUUUCGGAAAGCCUUCUGGUGUUUCUCAUGAGUAAACGGUACACAGAUUCUGAAGUGUGUUUGUCACUGUGUUAUAGCCAAGUCUACUCUCCCUGAAGUACAGCCCAAUGCCACAUCAGUUUCUAUUGCCCAUGUCCAAAACAGCUUGCAGUCAGGGUGAAAGUAUAGGGCGGUUUCGUAUGAAACCUAACAUUGAUUGAAACGCACCAACACCAAACUUUCCCAUAGUAGUAAUAGGCUCAGCAUGUAGCUUCUCUACAUACCAGGGAUAACUUUCCUGAAAAGAUCAGACAGGAAAGGCUGUAACGUCUAUGGUAAGCACUAGUGGAUUUUAACGGAGCUUUUAUCCUAUAAACAGAGGAAUUUGAGAUUGUACACUUAGACCUCUCUGACGCGGCUGUGUAUCUGACUUCUCGGUUUCCACGAGCUUUCUUCUUUCCCAGGAUCAGUCUUAUCAGAUGAUCAGUUGUUUUUCUUCCUAGAUUCUGAAUGGGAUUGAUGUACAGACAUCAAAAAGACAAAACCACUGAAGGAAAUGUACCCUUUUCUUUGUUCCUGGUUUGACGUUGUUGUGUUUUAUUUUAUUUUUCUACUUUUCCCUAUAAUACACGAGAGGUAAAAAGCAGAGUUAAAAAUAUGACAAAGCUAAAACUGGGGAUGAGGGUGGCAAAUUGUUCACUUCUAUUAGUAUCCACACUACCCGCUAGCUAUAGAUUUGAGGCACCAUUUGCUCAUUAUUUUCCCUGUGAUGUCCUUUUUGUUUUUCCAGAUUGAUGGUUUUUCUAGAUUGACACUGUUUAUGUAUAAUGUUCUUUCUCAAAUGCAUCACCUUUUCUCUUCUGUUGUGAUGUUCUGUAUUAAAAAUAUACUCUUUCUGUUUAUGUAUUAAAUGUACUGUGUGCAUGUAUUAAAGGUAUAAUCUCUAUUCUGAGAUUACAAAAACAUAACA